rnacentral:lncRNA from 1 species
CACGCCCUUCAGCCGUGAGGAGCCCGCCGGGCCCUUGGGCCACUCCCGGCCUGAAACUAAUCUCUGGGCGCGGAAGGGAGGGAGGCUCUUUCCAGAAGCUGCAGCGGCAUCGCAUUGACUCAGCUUCGCCGGCUUCCUGGGUCUGCUUGGUGCACACUCCCGCGCGUGAGCGUGUCCCGCUCCGGCACUCGGCAGCGCACACCCGCG